rnacentral:rRNA from 1 species
UACGGAGGGGGCUAGCGUUGUUCGGAAUUACUGGGCGUAAAGCGCGCGUAGGCGGACCUGCAAGUCGGGGGUGAAAGCCCGAGGCUCAACCUCGGAACUGCCUUCGAUACUGCGGGUCUCGAGUCCGGGAGAGGUGAGUGGAAUUCCUAGUGUAGAGGUGAAAUUCGUAGAUAUUCGCAAGAACACCAGUGGCGAAGGCGGCUCACUGGCCCGGUACUGACGCUGAGGUGCGAAAGCGUGGGGAGCAA